rnacentral:rRNA from 1 species
GAUGAACGCUGGCGGCGUGCCUAAUACAUGCAAGUCGAGCGAACAGACGAGGAGCUUGCUCCUCUGACGUUAGCGGCGGACGGGUGAGUAACACGUGGAUAACCUACCUAUAAGACUGGGAUAACUUCGGGAAACCGGAGCUAAUACCGGAUAAUAUAUUGAACCGCAUGGUUCAAUAGUGAAAGACGGUUUUGCUGUCACUUAUAGAUGGAUCCGCGCCGAAUUAGCUAGUUGGUAAGGUAACGGCUUACCAAGGCGACGAUGCGUAGCCGACCUGAGAGGGUGAUCGGCCACACUGGAACUGAGACACGGUCCAGACUCCUACGGGAGGCAGCAGUAGGGAAUCUUCCGCAAUGGGCGAAAGCCUGACGGAGCAACGCCGCGGGAGGGAUGAAGGUCUUCGGAUCGUAAAACUCUGUUAUUAGGGAAGAACAAAAGUGUAAGUAACUAUGCACGUCUUGACGGUACCUAAUGAGAAAGCCACGGCUAACUACGUG